rnacentral:rRNA from 1 species
CGGGUGAGUAAUACAUCGGAACGUACCCAGUAGUGGGGGAUAGCUCGGCGAAAGCCGGAUUAAUACCGCAUACGACCUAUGGGUGAAAGCGGGGGAUCGCAAGACCUCGCGCUAUUGGAGCGGCCGAUGUCGGAUUAGCUUGUUGGUGAGGUAAAAGCUCACCAAGGCGACGAUCCGUAGCUGGUCUGAGAGGACGACCAGCCACACUGGGACUGAGACACGGCCCAG